CCUACAUGCGACUGCGAAGGUCAUUAUCGAGUUUUGAAGUAAGGCUUGAUGCUGGUGCGGAAACGUACAUGUGCUCAGUCUUACACUCAUUCCACUCAACACCUGUGCACUUAUCGAAGUUAGUAGUCGUUCCUCCUUUCAUUAGGAGCCGUUGAGAGGAGAGUCUCGCAAGUAAUCAUUAGGAAGGUUGAUUUAUUGACUUUCUUAAAGGUGAAAGGCGGGGUCACCUUGACUGGGAGCGGUGAAACCUUUGACUUAUUAUAAACCUUUUACUUGUCUUGUAGAAUGUAAUGCUCCUCGUGGGCGAAAUGAAAAUACAACUUUCAACAACGGAUCUCUUGGCUCUCGCAUCGAUGAAGAACGCAGCGAAAUGCGAUAAGUAAUGUGAAUUGCAGAAUUCAGUGAAUCAUCGAAUCUUUGAACGCACCUUGCGCCCUUUGGUAUUCCGAAGGGCAUGCCUGUUUGAGUGUCAUGUUAAUCUCAAUAUCCUUGUUUUCUUAAUUGAAGACUUGGAGCAUUGGACUUGGAGGUUUAUGCUGGCCCCUUUUGUGGUCGGCUCCUCUUAAAUGUAUUAGUUGGACUUUGGUUCGCGUGAAGAUGUAAUAGUUUAUUCAUCAUUAGCGCUUGCCUAAUGGGUCUGCUUCUAAUCGUCUUGGGACAAAGAUUAACUUCUUUCUUGACUCUUUGACCUCAAAUCAGGUAGGACUACCCGCUGAACUUAAGCAUAUCAAA
rnacentral:rRNA from 1 species